UUGGACACAUCCAAUAAUUGAAGAUGAAAAUCCAGGAUUGAACCAUUCAUGAGGCUGUAUCUUAUUGUUCAAAAUUAAAAUCACGAUACGAAUACUAAAAGCAUCCAAUGGCUUCGUAAGUCUUACAUCUGAACACAAUAACUCAUCAUUUGACUGCCAUGUUUAGGGGGGAAAGGUCAAUAGACAAGAAAAGUUAGUAAUGAUCUUACAACUCCGAAACCAACUUAAUCAAGGCCUACCAAUUAAUCAAUACCCAUACAACUAAUUCA
rnacentral:lncRNA from 1 species